GGAGGUAUAGCUCAGUGACAGAGCACAUGCUUAGCAUGCAUGAGGCCCUGGGUUUGAUCCCCAGCACCUCUA